CUGCUCUGUGUUAUUUCUGCCCUUGGUCCCGCAGAGUCCUGCAGAGCUGAGCUCUCUGCACACGCCUCCCUCCUUCCUCCUUUCUUGGCGCCUGUGCAGCUCCAUACGUUAACCCUGGCGAGUGCAAGCUUGGGGGUCCUCACCCAGGUGGUUCUCACCACCAGCCUGUGGCCUGGGCUCCAUCUGCGAAAAUCAAACCUAACAGAGAGGGCUGAGAUGCAGCAGCAACUCGGGGAGCGAACUGACAGUGCAGCUGACUGACAAGAAAGAGGUGAGGAGUGAACGCUGCAAUUUGAGAACCUCUUUGGUCAGCUCUUGGAAAAGAACGAACUCUCUCCUGUUGAAACGAGCUCAAGGUUUUUCAAGAAGCCAGCAUGAGCAACUUGGAUUCCGAAACCGAGGCAGAAGUUGGAGCAUCCGAGAGGACCAGAGGGGGUCUAUCAUCUCCUACAGAUUUAACUGAAAUGGGACCAGCACAGCGGCCAGCGAGCAUGCGGGAGAGGGCGUGAGACUUUGCAGCUCACCAGACACCCACAUUGAAGGGGAGGUUGCAAGUCCUUUCUUUCUCUCAUCAGGGAAGUAGAGAUGGCUCCAGCCGAGGAGUCUUCUUUCUGUUUACAGAGUCGCGUGGUGGUGGGGAAGGCUGAACUCUUGGAUGUGAAAUUGUUCUCUUCUGACAUGUAGGAAAGAGACUCUCUUCUGAGAGCCCACAAAUAUUUGUCAGUUAUUUUUCUCUUGGAGAAAUGUUUUUCUCAAAUCUGUGAUGCUAAAGACCGUCGUGGGCAUUUCAGCUUCUGUGGCCUGUGAAAGUUGACUGCAUCCCAGGGCUGCUCCAAAGGGGUUAAUUGCAUCUAAGCAUUGGAAAGUGAUUAUCUAAUUAAACUUUGAAAUGGAAUGGUAAAAACGCUGGGUGACAGACUGUCUGUGGGAGGGUCCCCUGAGGUGCUCUCCAUUUAUUGCUAAUCAUCUUUCUUGCCCAGGCGGAGCCAGUUUCCAGCAGAGCACAUGCUCAGACCGCGCUCUCCCCAGCUCGGGAGUCACUCAGAGAUUUCUCAGGCAGAUUCCUCCCUCCGUGUUGCGUGCCCUGCCUGAACUCUGCAGUUGUGCCUGGCUAUCUUGAAAGGCUAUCAUCCCUGGUCUUCAGCUCCCCCUAAUUCCUAUUUAAAAUCAGAAGGCUAUGUCUAUACUUAGAACCAUGGAACCAAAGAGAUUUGAAGGGUUGGGAGUUAUGCUGGAUAUUUAUGACUGUUGCCCAGAGAAUUGGGGCUCGAGACCCAGGACGCCUGCCAUAAAUUCUGUGCACGUGUCGUAUCCCCCUCAUUGAAAUCUGCUGGCACCUAGAUUCUCUGGGCCAGGGCCCCUGCCAGGUACCCUGGUGGAUGCAGAGUGAGUCUGGACCACGUGCUCCGGAGCAGCCUGUGGGCGAGAGGGGAACAAGCUGGAAGAGCCGACGUGAAGAUCGUUCUUUGUCACUUGAAAAGCAAUCUCGUUUGUUCUUCAUUCGUGCCUGGUGAUGUGGUUCCCUACAUCACUGCCACUUUCUAGAUGUAGAAAAUGAGGCUCAGACCCCUUAAACAACCUCCUUGAGUCCUUCAACACUGAGCUUCCUAACCUUGAAACUCAUGUCUUUUUUUUAAAUUAUAUUAUUAAUGUGUAGUUAAUUUGCAACGUUGGGUUAGUUUCUGCUGUCCAGCAAAGAGAUUCAGUUACAUGGACAUAUACAGCUUUUCAUAUUCUUUUCUAUCAUGGCUUAGCACAGGAUGUUGAGUCUUGUUCCCUGUGUGAUAGAGGAGGACCUUGUUGUUCAUCCAUUUUCUUUCAUUUUUAUUUUUAAUCGGAGGAUAAUUGCUUUACAGUGUUAUGUUGGUUUCUGUAUAUAUAUUGAAUCUAGGGAAAUGGUACUGAUGAACCUAUUUGCAGGGCAGGAACAGAGACACUGACGUAGAGAAGGAACUUGUAGACACAGCAGGGGAAGGAAAGGGUGGGACAAAUUAAGAGAGUAGCCUUGAAUUAUAUACAUUACCAUGCUUAUCCCUUUUAUAUAUAAUAGUUUGCAGCCAUUAAUCCCAAACUCCCACGCUAUCCCUCCUCUCCCCCGCAACCCCGACAAUCACAAGUCUGUCCUUUAUGUCGGUCAGUCUGUUUCUGUGUUGUUGGUAAGGAACUCGUGUCUUUUUACCUGCUGGGCUGGAUGCCACGGAGACCUUGACAAGGAAACUUUCCUGCCCUCUGGGGAUAAGAAGGAAAAUGUCACAGCAGAGAUGGCGUUUGACUUUGACGUUCACUGAUGGAGCUUGGCCAGUAAGAGAAAAGACACAGAGAAAGGCAAGUGGGCAUAGAGUUUGGGGACCAGAACAUUGGCAGAAGUGACUUGGAGGCUUGUACUUUGGUUUUAUGUUUUUAUUUUUGAAUGACGCCUUUAUGUGGUGGUAAACAUUUUGGAGGCCCUGUCAUGUGCCAGACCCUGGGGUGUUAGGGAUGAACCAAGCGGAUGAGGUGGUCAUUCUUAUGUUCUAGUGGAAUAGUGGCAGGGUUUUGAAGAAGACGGGGCAUGCUCAGAUCUGAGUUUUAGGACGGUCCUUGUGGUGACAGUUUGGAGAAGGGGACGGGGUUAGAAGGUCCUUGAGGCGACUCCCAUGAAAGGCUAGAAAGUGACGAGGAGGGGCUGGCUUGGGGCCUGGGCAGUAGGGAUCAGGAGGAGUGGACAGACUUGAAAGCAGCUUAACCUGAAAUUCCAGAAUGAUUUCUGUGUGCGCCUUUGAAUUAAGGCAUUGCAGUCACUUAAAUUCCUCUUUAGAACUGCCUUUGCUAAACAACACUUCAAUAUUUUGCUCUCAGCAAAGGUUACCCAAUGAUAUCAGGAGAGUCACCCAGGGAACUUCUCUGCAUUUUUUUUUUUUUUUUUUGUAAAAUGACUAUUGGGGACAUAAUUCAUUGCGCUGCUCAAUGCCACUUAUGCAAAUGUCCCUAUGACAAAUGCAUUCUAGGGCGCUGGGCCAAGAAAAAUUGGUUCUCCUGACAUGCAGGCUGGAUCGUACUUCUAGACAAUAGGAACCCCAUGGCCUGCCAUCCUUCCCUCCAGUAUCCAGGUGUCGGGAAACCCAAAGCUAAGUUUAGGCUUCGUUUUUGUAGCAUUGUUGCUGUUGUUUAGUUGCUAAGUCGUGUCUGACUCUUUGUGACUCCAUGGACUGUAGCCCACCAGGCUCCUCUGUCAUUGAGAUUUCCCAGGCAAGAAUACUAGAGCGGGUUGCCAUUUCCAUCUCCAGGGGAUCUUCCUGACCCAGGGCUUGAACCCAUGUCUCCUGCAUUGCAGGUGGAUUCUUUAUUACUGCACCAUCUGGGGAGACCUUUUGUAGCAUUAUCUGAACAAUUAUACCCCCCUGCUUUCUCUGAUUGUAUUCUAGUUUUAUGGGAAGCUACCUUGUUAGAUAUGGAGUAGAGCGAAAGCCCAGUGAUUGUCAGUCCAUGAAGGGCUUACAAUAGCUUCUGGCAGCAUUGAGUCUGCAUAUGGCUCCUGAUCAUCAUUUCCCAAACUCUGUUCCCUGGUGCAUAGAGGUUCCAUGAGCUGUUCCAGAGCAGGGGAACAGUCCCAGCUGGGGGCAUCUUUUCAUCUUUGGUGCAUUUUAAAGUAGACAUUAGAAAAAUAUCUGCUUAAGAGUUUUGGUAACGCUGUUCUAACAUUCAAACAAGAGUGGCUGCAUGGUGGUGUUGAGUCCCUGGGUGUAACGUGACCUGGGACACGACUCCAUGUCUUUGCAACUCAAUUUCUUCAUCUGUAAAAUGGCACUAAUUAUAGCAUCUGCCUCAGAGGCUUAGGACAGUGCUUGGCACCCAGGGAGCCUUUGACUAGUGGCAGUUUUUAUUUCUGAGUGAUCGUCCCCCUCUGGGAAAAGCUCUCCUGCCCCUGACAGCAGAAGGAAAUCACGUGACAGAUCGCAGGAUGCAGGAAGUGCGAUGUUUAGCAGCGGGUUGUACAUGUUGCCUUCCCGCUGCCAAGCUGUGUGUUUUCUAUUUAAAAAUUGCCGGUCUUUGUUAUGCAUUUUAUCUCAUAAUUUUAACAUUUAUUGGUGCAAUUAUUCAAUGUUUACUUUAUAUUAAGCAUAUGGAUCAAAUUUUGAUCAUUUCUUUUCACAAUUAAUUCAACUGUGAGACCAUUUUUUUGCUGUCGACUUUCAUUUAAAUGGUAUCUCGUGAGCCUCCUAUGGGCACCCUGACAAAACAGUGCAAUUUAAACAAUAUUCCAUGGUCAAGCAAGCUGGGGAAUACUGCCUGAGGUUAUAUCUUAGUUGAGUAUGCCCCCUUUGGGCAAGAUUAUUACGUGGAAAUGCAGAUGAAGCACCAGCCAACUUGCUCCUUCAAAACAUCACCACUCUUUAGAAUGAAAAUUUGAUAUAUUUAAGCCAUGAGUGUUUUUAACUUGGGUAAUAGUUCUACUCAUCAGCACCAGCUUGAAGCCAGUGUCUGUGUGUUUAUCAUUAGUUCAUUCAUUCAAUAAUAAUGUACUGAGUCUUUCCUAUGGUCCGGGUACCAUGCUAAACAUUGGCAACACUGAGUUCUAGCUUCCAUGUUCUUGAUCUGUGUUAUUCAAUAUGGUAGCCACAAGCCACAUGUGGCUACUGAGCACUUGAAAGGUGGCUGGUCUGAGGUGAGAUGGGGCACAAGUUAAAUUCACACCGAACUUUAAAGACAGUAUGAAAUGGAAAGCAAAGAACUUCCCUGGAGGUUCAGUGACUGGGACUCCAUGCUUU